UACGUAGGAUGCAAGCGUUGUCCGGAAUUAUUGGGCGUAAAGAGUUCGUAGGCGGUUGCCUAAGUCUGUUGUUAAAGGCCUGAGCUCAACUCGGGUAUGGCAAUGGAUACUGGGCAGCUAGAGUACGGUAGAGGGGGAUGGAAUUCCGCGUGUAGCAGUGAAAUGCGUAGAUAUGCGGAGGAACACCGAUGGCGAAGGCAAUCCCCUGGACCUGUACUGACGCUCAUGCACGAAAGCGUGGGGAGCAAACAGG
rnacentral:rRNA from 1 species